rnacentral:rRNA from 1 species
UGCCAGCAGCCGCGGUAAGACGAACCGUCCAAACGUUAUUCGGUAUCACUGGGCUUAAAGAGUUCGUAGGCGGCCCAAUAGGUCAGGUGUGAAAUCCCACAGCUCAACUGUGGAACUGCGCUUGAAACCAUUGGGCUAGAGGGAGAUAGAGGUGAGCGGAACAGAUGGUGGAGCGGUGAAAUGCGUUGAUAUCAUCUGGAACACCGGUGGCGAAAGCGGCUCACUGGAUCUCUUCUGACGCUGAGGAACGAAAGCUAGGGUAGCGAACGGGAUUAGAUA